UACGUAGGGGCCAAGCGUUGUCCGGAUUUAUUGGGCGUAAAGAGCUCGUAGGCGGUUUGGAUAGUCGGGUGUGAAAACUCGAGGCUCAACCUCGAGAUGUCGAUGGAAACCGUCUGGCUAGAGUCCGGAAGAGGAGUGUGGAAUUCCUGGUGUAGCGGUGAAAUGCGCAGAUAUCAGGAAGAACACCCGUGGCGAAGGCGGCUCUCUGGGACGGUACUGACGCUGAGACGCGAAAGCGUGGGAGCGAACAGG
rnacentral:rRNA from 1 species